CAACUACUCCCUCUGUCCCAAAAAUUUUGUCUUAGAUUUGUCUAGAUACGGAUGUAUCUAAUACUAAAAUGUGACUUGAUACAUCCGUAUCUAGACAAAUCUAAGACAAGAAUUUCGGGACGGAGGGAGUACUUU
rnacentral:pre_miRNA from 1 species